CCGCGCUAGGUGGGGAGCUAGCGGUUCCCUGAACCCGCAAUCCGCUCCAGCGGGGCUGAAUCCCCUUCCGAGGGGGUCACGUCCGAGAUACGGGCUUCGGGUGCAAGUGUUGACGGCCAGGUCCCGCGCACUGGGAGUCUCCGAACCGCGUCAGAUCCGGGAGGAAGCAGCGCUAAGGAGUGUCUCUCAGGUGCCGCGGACCGCCUGGCUCGAGCGAGCACCCACUGCACCGGCUCGAACGAACCUUCGACGGAGGGUGCGCGG
rnacentral:SRP_RNA from 1 species